rnacentral:tmRNA from 1 species
UGCUAUGGUAAUAAAUGGACAAUGAAAUAAACCCAUUGGACCCGGGGGCGGUACCCGGCGCCUCCACCAAAAUAUAAUCAACAAAGCUUAUACUUUGGUGGGGGCGAAAUAGGAUCGACAAGGGUGUAAAGAUUGCUCUUUUACUCGGCAUUGUACCACCGUCAUCGGACUAAAUUAGUAGUUGCAAAUGACAACUAUGCGGAAGUAUCUCUCGCUGCUUAAGCAGUGCGAAGGCUUCAAAUUAAGCCUUAAACCGUCGCAGGUAAG